CUAGUCAAAGAUGACGAUCUCAUUCUCUACAUUCUUAGUGGCCUAGGCCCGGAUUACAAUACUUUGGUUGUUUCAGUUACCUCUAGGGUAGAAGCUAUCUCCAUCGCUGAUCUCCAUGGGCUGCUCUUAAGUCAUGAAA
rnacentral:snoRNA from 1 species